rnacentral:rRNA from 3 species
AGCAGCCGCGGUAAUACGUAGGUGGCAAGCGUUGUCCGGAAUUAUUGGGCGUAAAGGGCUCGCAGGCGGUUUCUUAAGUCUGAUGUGAAAGCCCCCGGCUCAACCGGGGAGGGUCAUUGGAAACUGGGAAACUUGAGUGCAGAAGAGGAGAGUGGAAUUCCACGUGUAGCGGUGAAAUGCGUAGAGAUGUGGAGGAACACCAGUGGCGAAGGCGACUCUCUGGUCUGUAACUGACGCUGAGGAGCGAAAGCGUGGGGAGCGAACAGGAUUAGAUACCCUGGUAGUCCACGCCGUAAACGAUGAGUGCUAAGUGUUAGGGGGUUUCCGCCCCUUAGUGCUGCAGCUAACGCAUUAAGCACUCCGCCUGGGGAGUACGGUCGCAAGACUGAAACUCAAAGGAAUUGACGGGGGCCCGCACAAGCGGUGGAGCAUGUGGUUUAAUUCGAAGCAACGCGAAGAACCUUACCAGGUCUUGACAUCCUCUGACAACCCUAGAGAUAGGGCUUUCCCUUCGGGGACAGAGUGACAGGUGGUGCAUGGUUGUCGUCAGCUCGUGUCGUGAGAUGUUGGGUUAAGUCCCGCAACGAGCGCAACCCUUGAUCUUAGUUGCCAGCAUUCAGUUGGGCACUCUAAGGUGACUGCCGGUGACAAACCGGAGGAAGGUGGGGAUGACGUCAAAUCAUCAUGCCCCUUAUGACCUGGGCUACACACGUGCUACAAUGGACAGAACAAAGGGCUGCGAGACCGCAAGGUUUAGCCAAUCCCACAAAUCUGUUCUCAGUUCGGAUCGCAGUCUGCAACUCGACUGCGUGAAGCUGGAAUCGCUAGUAAUCGCGGAU